UCCAUAGUGUAGUGGUUAGCACCGUGGACUUUGAAUCCACUAACCCGGGUUCGAAUCCCGGUGGGACCU
rnacentral:tRNA from 1 species